CCCAACUCUCAACCCCCUUAUAAAUACCACCGAAAUCCCAUCAAUUGUCACUCACAACCACACGACAAAGGACUUUCCUCCUCCGUCUAAUUCUUGCAACAUCAGUAUCAAAUCCAAACAACAGAGGAGAAUGAAGACUUUUUUACUCACUUUUUUGCUCAUUUUUGCUCUUCUGCUCAGCAACUCAUUUACUGAACCCACCGUGGCCGCAUACUGUAAGUAUUAUUUUUAAUCUUAAUAAACUUUCAAGUCUGAAAAUUACUCGUGUUUGGCCAUGCUUAGAAACUACUUUUAGAUCAUUUUUCACCAAACAGGGGCAAAAUCUUAAGUUUGGUUUUUGUGUAGUUCACUGUUCACACGAGUUUUUGUUUAAUUGUAAAAUUUUAUUUUGACACAUGGUUGGAUAAAUUAAAGUAAAAUAAAGUUAUGUCUUUGUAGAUUACUGUGGACAGAAAUGCAAGGAAAGGUGCGCGAAGGCGGGCGUGGUGGACCGGUGCCUCAAGUACUGUGGAAUAUGCUGUCAAAUAUGCAAGUGCGUUCCUUCUGGGACUUAUGGGAACAAGCACCAGUGCCCUUGCUACAGGGACAUGAGAAACUCCAAGGGCAAGCCCAAAUGCCCUUGAAUAUCUACUUAUUUACUUACCAGCCAUGAAAUUAAAAUUUGUACAACCUUUAGUUUAGAUUAAGGUUUGAUUGUACUAAGACUGAGUUUGGAAUUUCUGAAUAAGAGGACCGUCUGUUUGGUUCCUCUGUAUUCCCAGCAGUGUGUGGAUCCACAUUUUCAUUGAGGGUGACCUUUGUCUUGGAACAAUGUAUGUCUACGUAUCAUCUUUAAUCUCCUUUUAAUUUAAUGAUCAAAUUCAAAUAAUUUUA
rnacentral:lncRNA from 1 species